CUUUCAUAGUCGUCGCAGAGUUUAUUAGUCGUGAAUCUUCACUGAAUCGAGAGCUUCUAGCUUCUGGUUGAUGAAAAACUUGCGUAGAUGAAACAUUAACCUUCACCACCUUAGGAAUUGUUGCUCCUAUAUGAUGAGUAGGACUGGGCAUAAUUAAGCGAGAACUAAGGACCGAACCGAAAAAUCGAGGAUCGAACCGAAAGAACCAAAACCGAGAAAUUCGGUCAUAGGUUCGGUUCUGAUUUUCAACUAACCGAAAUUUGAUUGGUUCUGACCCUCGGUUAACCGAAGAACUGAAGAAACUGAAGUAUGUACAGCUAACAACAAUAGUUCAAGCCGAGCCCAAUAAUAUUUCCAACAGGCCUAGUAACUCUCAUAACUCACAGCUGCACCCCAACCUUCCCGAGACCCUUGCCUAGCGACGCUUCUUCUUCUUCGUCGGUUCCUUUCCUCCUCCAUGCGUGCUCCUCGUCUCCUCCUCUCUAGUCCCAUCGCCCCUCCCUACAUACCCUCCUCCUCUUUAGUUGGCACAUGGCUGCUUGGCUCGUGCACCCCAUGAGCUGCUGGCCGCCUUUGCCUCUUUCUCUGCAUAUGGAAGCGAGCUCUGCCUAACAGGGGUUGGCAAGCAGUAGCACCUCC
rnacentral:lncRNA from 1 species